GAUCAUUUGAGCCAAAGCUUCCUGUCUGCCCUGUAGUGGGCCUGGGGGCUCUUUGGGUGUCCCACCGGCAGAGGGAGGCCAAGCUCAAGGUGCAGGUCCAUGUUCCAUCGCCACCUGUGUUCCUUUUCUAUGCUGUGCAACAAGUUGCCACAAACGUAGCAGCUUAAAACAACAUCUGUUUAUGAUCUUCCAGUUUCUGUAGGUCAGGAGUCCGGGCAUGGCUUCACUGGGUCUUCUGCUCGGGGUCUCACAGGGCUCCUCUGUCAGGGGCCCACCAGGCUGAGGUCCCAGCUGGACCUCAGUGUCCUCUUCUAAGCUCACUCAGAUUGUAGGCGGAACUGAGUUCCUUGCGGUUGAAGUCUGAGGCCCUCAGCUGCUAGGGGCCACCCCUCCACAGGCGGCUCACAGCAUGGCUGUCUGUUUUCCCAGGCGAGAGAGAGAGCAUCUCCUUGCUUUCAGGAAAGACCUGGACUCCCUUUUAAAGGGCUCACCUGGUUAGGUCAGGCCCACCCUGGACGAUCUCCCUUUUGAUUAAGUCAAGCCCUACUGAUUAGGGACCUUAAUGACAUCUGCUAAAUCCCUUCAUCUUUGCCACAUUCUGUUGGUUAGAAGCAAGUCAGAGCGUCCACCACACUCAAGCAGAGGGGACAACACAAAGGUGUGGCCACCCCGGGGUGGGAAUCCCGGGGCCAUCUUAGAAUUAUGCCUACACACCACCUCUCCUUCGAGUUCUCAUUCUGAGUUCAAAGUGCCCCUCCUGACCCCUCGUAUCCCAAGCUCCGUCCAUCCCCACGUCUCCCGCGGUGGGAGCUAAGAGUGAAGAGGCUCUCAAAUACGCCCUUUUCAGCACUUGCGAUAGAGACGGGAGUUACUGCUGACCACAGAGCCUCAAGAUCUGGAGGACUAACGGUGGAAAAACAGCGGAGUAGUGAUCUUUGGAUGGGGGCCACUCCCUUACCAACAGGUGCUGUCCCCCACGGGGGACAGGGAAGGGAAGAAAGCGCGUCUUUAUCUUUGAAGAGCUCCUUCUGGAUGGAGACUAUUACCUCGGGCUACUGCUCUUGUUUCCCUCUGAAGUUAGCAGCUACAUCACAGAAAAUACGUAGAUAAGUGGAUUGUGAGCCACUAUCAAAUUUAAACUAUUUACAUUUUGGUUUGUGUCUUCUCAGAUUUUUACACUGCGUGCAUGAAAUGUGUGAUAAACAUCUUGGGACAUGUCGGCUCCCUCCGCCUGCCCCGAUUAUGGAUUAUUUCUGAAAGUGGGGCUUAGAGCAGGAAUCACUGGGUGAAAGCAUGCCAACGGUUUCAGGGCUGUUGGGCCAUUUUCUCGAAGGCCUGUGCUCAUUUUUGUGCUGUGACCCCUGCUGGUGAUUGGGGAUUUGCUUGUUUUCUUUGUCUUUCAAAGGAAGGCUGGGUCAAGAGCCUGGGGCUCUCUGGUGAUCCGGGUGCGGCUGGGGCGCCAUUUUGCUUUGGUCCCACUGGCACUCCCAAGGAGUGUGGGCACCGAAGGGACAGGGGGCAGAGCCCCUGAACUGCAUGUGUCAGGUUCUCUGGGCAGGGAAAGGCCAUUUCGCCCUAGGAUGGGGGGUAUUUUGACUUCCUCAAACUCCACCCCUUACCCAGGGCUCCUCCCCCGUGAACACCAGAGCCCCUGUUUUUGCAGGGUGACUCGGUGCCAGCACCUCUCAACUCAAGUCCCUUUAUUUCAAAUGAAAAAUAGAAGCAGACACACACAACGCCCUCUUCCAAGCUUGCUUGGCCAAAGAGGCAAAAGGAGGCGGAGAGAGCAGGAUUCCAAGUUCUUCCAGCCUAGGAUGGGGCCUUGGGCACCUUAUCCUCGUGGAAAGUUAUAUCCCGGGACGGGUGCCCAGGAGGCUGCCCACCCAGCCCUGCAAUUAGGGCCACAAUAGCGACAGCGGUGCUUGAAUAGGUUUUCUUUUGCAGGGAGGGCCGCCUGCCCCCGCCUCAGCUCUCAGAGCCGCAUGUGUGAACGAUUAAGCCG
ensembl:lncRNA